rnacentral:tRNA from 1 species
GGCUGGUUAGCUCAGUCAGUUGAGCAUGGCGCUAACAAUGCCAUGGUUGCAGGUUUGAUUCCUGUUUGAUCUC